rnacentral:lncRNA from 1 species
UCUGAUCAUAUUGUGUAAAUAUAUUUCUAAUAAAGAAAUCGCCCGAUGGUGUACAUGUUAGAAAUAACAAGAUGCAAUCAUCAAGUGUGAGAGAUGGCAACAUCAUGAUGGGAUGGUAUGUACUGUUGUGCUCAUCAAUAGGUUCGUCUUUCAUUCUCUUGCAGCCAGCAUGUUUUUUGUUAUGCAAACAAUUAGGAAAUAUCUAAUUUCUAUGUACGUCCAAAUAUAUAUAAGUAGUUGUUGUUAGCACUGAAUUUGGAUUUGUUAACGGUCGCUGCAUUUGGUCUAUCUCGAGCCUCUGGCUGUGGAUCAUGUUCUUUUGAUAUCCGCUUGCCAUGAUAUGUUAUCUCUGGUAUGUGUUACCUCUAUUUUUUUGUCUGGACUAAUUAGGGCCUGCUUCUGUUUGCUCUAAUUGAUAUAAUUGUUGUGGCAUGCAGCAGCCAAGCAAACAACAGAGCCAGGCCUAGCCUGAUGACGACUUGACAAAUAUGAUCAAGAUGCUGAAGAUGAGGAAUCUGACGAAACUGAAGAAAUAGGGGGUACUUUUAGCUUUAGUUCCUUAUAUCAUUUUUUGAUAUUCAUUGCUAUGUAUCUGUAUAAACUUGCUUCGGCCAUUAUUGACAAUUGGUCAGCAAAAGAAUUGCAUAUCUCUAGCCAUCCAGAAUAAGCGGAUGAGAUGAUGUGCAUUCAUUUGGUGGCACAAAAUCAAUUUCCUUUGCCAACUAAUAGUACAUACAUUAAGAAAAUUACUACAGUUGGCAGCUCUUCACUGCAUGUUUUGAAAUGUUCUGUGUGCUUGUCCUACCAAGUCACUUACAGAAGCAGGUACAACAUGCUAAGUAAGCAUCCAAUUAUUUACCCUAUUUUUUGUAUCAAUCCGAGAAAGAUGAGAAC